rnacentral:rRNA from 1 species
ACACUGCACGAAAGUGUGAUAGGGGGAUCCAAAGUGCUUAUACAAUAGUAUAGGCUUUUGCCAAAGACAAAUCCUUUGGCGAAUAAGUGGUGGGCAAGACCGGUGCCAGCCGCCGCGGUAACACCGGCGCCACAAGUGGCAACCGUAAUUAUUGGGCCUAAAGCGUUCGUAGCCGGUUUAGUAAAUUUUCUGUGAAAUCGUCUAGCUCAACUAGACGACGUGCAGGAAACACUGCUAGACUAGAGAUCGGGAGGGGCUAGGGGUAUUCUUGGGGGAGCGGUAAAAUGUUGUAAUCCCUUGAAGACCACCUGUGGCGAAGGCGCCUAGCCAGAACGAAUCUGACGGUGAGGGACGAAAGCUAGGGGAGCGAUCCGGAUUAGAUACCCGAGUAGUCCUAGCUGUAAACGCUGUGAACUAGGUGUUGCACAUACUCCGAGUAUGUGCAGUGUCGAAGCGAAGGCAUUAAGUUCACCGCCUGGGAAGUACGGUCGCAAGACUGAAACUUAAAGGAAUUGGCGGG